AUGUUGCUUGUAGCCAUUUUGUUUUGGUAUCUCUAAAAAUACUUUUUUUCACUAUUUACCAAAAAAUUGAGUUAUGCGGGUACUUCAAUGCACGUGUUCCACAUUAUUCACCAUGGCUUGACAGAAGUACUUAUAUUUCUAUCUUUUUAAUCCUCAGGACUGAAAACAGAAACAAAUUAUCCUGUUGUGCGUGAGCAGCAGACUCCCCAAGGAUGGAUCAGUCCGAGGUGUUCUCACAGAUUGGGAAAUGAGCAUGUAUAAGUACGAGGUGUUGGAACAGAUUGGUGAUGGAACAUUUGACUUUGGUCUAUUAGUGAGGCACGAGGUGGGGAAGAAGUAUUUGCUGAAGAAGAUCCAGCUAGCGCCACAAACUGACCGCAGUCACCGGUCUGCCUAGAAGGAGAUAGUGUGCAUAUCAGGAGGCUACCCUGUAAAAUUGGAAUAGCAUAUAAUGCCU